rnacentral:rRNA from 1 species
CCUACGGGGGGCAGCAGUGGGGAAUAUUGCACAAUGGGCGCAAGCCUGAUGCAGCCAUGCCGCGUGUGUGAAGAAGGCCUUCGGGUUGUAAAGCACUUUCAGCGGGGAGGAAGGCGUUAAGGUUAAUAACCUUGUCGAUUGACGUUACCCGCAGAAGAAGCACCGGCUAACUCCGUGCCAGCAGCCGCGGUUAUACGGAGGGUGCAAGCGUUAAUCGGAAUUACUGGGCGUAAAGCGCACGCAGGCGGUCUGUCAAGUCGGAUGUGAAAUCCCCGGGCUCAACCUGGGAACUGCAUUCGAAACUGGCAGGCUAGAGUCUUGUAGAGGGGGGUAGAAUUCCAGGUGUAGCGGUGAAAUGCGUAGAGAUCUGGAGGAAUACCGGUGGCGAAGGCGGCCCCCUGGACAAAGACUGACGCUCAGGUGCGAAAGCGUGGGGAGCAAACAGGAUUAGAUACCCGGGUAGUC